AUGAAUGACAAGCUUGGAUCUUUGGUACUGAGACAUGGAGCAGAUCCAGAUCAGCAGGAAACUAAGCAAGAAGAAAUAAAUAACAGGACAAAUGACAGGCUCAUCACUGCGUCUUCCAGGGAGCUUUGUCUAUCAAAUCAUCCAGGUAAGAGUGAGUGUUCUGUCUUUGGAAGUGGGUUGCCCACUGCUGCUAGCACUUGUACAACACUACAAAACCCAAGUAGGAUCCGAAUGCCAACAGCUAAUUCUAACAAUGUUUGGUUUUGAUUUGUCAGGAGACACAGCUAAACAGUCCUAAGGUAGUGGGGAAGUGGCAAAGUGCCACUGUAAGUAUGCCCACUGUGACUCAAGGUCCAUGAGCUAGGAGUGACCUUUACCUCAUCCUGACAUCCUGAACCUGCAGCAAUGUCUUUGCACCUGGUCAAGUUCUUUAGGUCUAGAUUGGAACUGAGCUCUCCUUUCUCACAAGGGAGUCUUGGGAAGGACAGCCAAAGACAGAAAACACAAUAGGACUCGGAUGUUGCCAGCUGGUGAGUGUCCUACCAGAAGUCCAUCGAGGCUGAGCCUGGUGGCUUGUGGGCCUUGACAGUCCUGAUGGAAUGGGAGGGGACAGUCCCUGAAAAUGGUAGCAUUUGGGGGAGAUGUUCCCUAUCCCGCUACAGACUGUCAGUUUGCACCUUCUUUCUUAGGGAUGCUCUUAAAUGAACAGUUGGAAAAAAAACCUUACUGUGAGGUCUCUGAAGAGAGAAGUAGACCUCUGGCUUGGUUUUGUGAAGUUACUAGAAGAAAUAGAGAGAGGGGGAUGCAUAUCCAUACUUUUUUUUUUUUUUUUGUCAUGUAGGAGCACAAGAAACUCCAAACACUAGACCUUGUCACACAGGACAGUAACAGGAUUAAAAAAGAAAAAAAAAAGUGGGGUGUGUAAUUACUGAUGUACUACAAGGAGAAUGUUUACUGGAUGUCAUAACAAACUGCAUCUUUAGGUUAUUAUUCUACUUAACAACAGGACCAUCAGUGCUUAUUAAUUUAGCAGUUUGUUUCAGCUAAUGCUUUCAAGAUCUAUUUCCUGCAAAUUAGGAACACAUGUGUUACUGUGGGAAUAUAGAAGAAAGUAUCUAUUUAGACAACCAUAUUUUCAUUUUGGGCUCCUUUCACUUUGAAUUAAAUAUAAAUGAGUGCUAAAAGAUACCAUUUCAUGCCAUAUGAGGCUGACGACAGAAAUCCUGUCUCAGAGUGGUUAUUACUUUUUGAUUAUGGCUUUUGUAGU
rnacentral:lncRNA from 1 species